rnacentral:rRNA from 1 species
CUUGAUUUUCAUAAAUUAAUCGAAAACACCCGACCCCUUUUCGAAUUCGACAUGUGAAAUGAUUGAUUGCCUUAUGUACUGCUUUUUGCGGGAGACAUGGUUAAAAUCAAGA